CGUAAUCAGGUUAGGAUCUUCACAAUGUUGUCCCUUUUUUUGGGCCACUAUUUAUAGUUUCACAUGUUAUGUUAUACUUUUGAUCCGAAGUCUGAAGUCAGGUUAUAUAUCAUUGUGUAAGACAAUGUUAAGUACCAAUUGGAAAAGUUAGUUAUUUAGAAUGGGUAAAAAUGUGUUAAGCGCACAGUUUUAUCUAUCUCCUAAAUGCAAUAUUUAUAUUGAUAUUGCAAUCAGUUUUACUUUUUAUAUUGGUAAAGGUAUAUACAAUCAUGGAAGUUUACUUUGGUGGAAUCCAC
rnacentral:misc_RNA from 1 species